UACGUAGGGUGCGAGCGUUAAUCGGAAUUACUGGGCGUAAAGGGCGCGUAGGCGGCACAGCAAGUCGGGAGUGAAAGCCCGGGGCUCAACCCCGGAACUGCUUUCGAAACUGCUGAGCUAGAGUACAGAAGGGGCAACCGGAAUUCCCUGUGUAGCGGUGAAAUGCGUAGAGAUGGGGGAGAACACUCGUGGCGAAGGCGGCCAGCUAGACCAGUUCUGACACUGAGGCGCGACAGCGUGGGGAGCAAACAGG
rnacentral:rRNA from 1 species